rnacentral:rRNA from 1 species
UACAGAGGUCUCAAGCGUUGUUCGGAUUCAUUGGGCGUAAAGGGUGCGUAGGCGGUGGGGUGAGUUUGGGGUGAAAUCUCCGGGCCCAACCCGGAAAAUGCCUUGAAUACUAUCCUGCUUGAGGAUCGGAGGGGAGACUGGAAUUCCCGGUGUAGUGGUGAAAUGCGCAGAUAUCAGGAGGAACACCGGUGGCGAAGGCGGGUCUCUGGGCCGAUACUGACGCUGAGGAGCGAAAGCGUGGGGAGCGAACAGG